GGGAGGGUGUAGUGGUUUGAGUGCUGGACUAUGACUCUGGAGACCAGGGUUCAAUUCUCAGCUCAGCCC
rnacentral:tRNA from 1 species